rnacentral:rRNA from 1 species
UAAUAGUGUAUAUUAAAGUUGUUGCAGUUAAAAAGCUCGUAGUUGAAUGUUGGUGUCGAGCGAGCGGUCAGCUUCGGCUGUACUGCUCUCUCGACUCCUUCCUUCUGUGGACUACGUCGCACUUUACUGUGUGGCGCUAGGACGCAGAUCGUUUACUGUGAAAAAAUUAGAGUGUUCAAAGCAGGCCGUACGCUUGAAUACAUUAGCAUGGAAUAAUGGAAUAGGACGUCGGGCCUAUUUUGUUGGUUCUAGGACCGUCGUAAUGAUUAAUAGGGACAGUUGGGGCCGUUUAUAUUCCGUAGUCAGAGGUGAAAUUCUUGGAUUUACGGAAGAUAAACUACUGCGAAAGCAUUCGGCAAGGAUGUUUUCGUUAA